GUCUCGAUAGCUCAGUGGUAGAGCAUGCGAUUGCAGUGAGUCUAUCCUGUUCUUAUAUCGCAUGGUCCGGUGUUCGAACCACCGUCGGGACU